AUCCAGCUGACGGAUCCCAAAUAAGACGAAAUGUGCAUCCUGGAU
rnacentral:hammerhead_ribozyme from 1 species